CAGCAAUCAAUUGCUUCUUUUUCUUCAGCUUGUUUGGGUCAAGAGAUGCUAUAUAUUGAGGACAGUUCAUCUUUAAAUGAUUCUGCUUCCUAUAGUAGAAGCACUCUGCUUGACUUUGGUCAGACUUGGACUUGGACUUUUGGGUCUGACUCUCAGCACUUUACACCUUUUUAUUCUUUUUUUUCUUCUCUUUCUUAAAGGGAUGAUGUCCACCC
rnacentral:lncRNA from 1 species